rnacentral:rRNA from 1 species
UAAGGAAUCUUCGGCAAUGGGGGCAACCCUGACCGAGCAACGCCGCGUGAGUGAAGAAGGUUUUCGGAUCGUAAAGCUCUGUUGUAAGAGAAGAACGUGUGUGAGAGUGGAAAGUUCACACAGUGACGGUAACUUACCAGAAAGGGACGGCUAACUACGUGCCAGCAGCCGCGGUAAUACGUAGGUCCCGAGCGUUGUCCGGAUUUAUUGGGCGUAAAGCGAGCGCAGGCGGUUUAAUAAGUCUGAAGUUAAAGGCAGUGGCUUAACCAUUGUUCGCUUUGGAAACUGUUAAACUUGAGUGCAGGAGGGGAGAGUGGAAUUCCAUGUGUAGCGGUGAAAUGCGUAGAUAUAUGGAGGAACACCGGUGGCGAAAGCGGCUCUCUGGUCUGUAACUGACGCUGAGGCUCGAAAGCGUGGGGAGCAAACAGG